UGGGGAAUUUUGGACAAUGGGCGAAAGCCUGAUCCAGCAAUGCCGCGUGUGUGAAGAAGGCCUUCGGGUUGUAAAGCACUUUUGUCCGGAAAGAAAUCCUUGGCUCUAAUACAGUCGGGGGAGUGACGGUACCGGAAGAAUAAGCACCGGCUAACUACGUGCCAGCAGCCGCGGUAAUACGUAGGGUGCAAGCGUUAAUCGGAAUUACUGGGCGUAAAGCGUGCGCAGGCGGUUUGCUAAGACCGAUGUGAAAUCCCGGCGUCACCUGGCACUGGCAUUGGUGAUCUGGCAGGCUAGAGUAUGGCAGAGGGGUGAGAAUUCCACGUGUAGCAGUGAAAUGCGUAGAGAUGUGGAGGAAUACCGAUGGCGAAGGCAGCCCCUCGGCAAGUCACUGACGCUCAUGCACGAAAGCGUGGGGAGCAAAC
rnacentral:rRNA from 1 species